rnacentral:rRNA from 1 species
UCCCAGACUCCUACGGGAGGCAGCAGUGGGGAAUAUUGCACAAUGGGGGAAACCCUGAUGCAGCAACGCCGCGUGGGUGAAGAAGUAUUUCGGUAUGUAAAGCCCUAUCAGCAGGGAAGAGAAUGACGGUACCUGACUAAGAAGCCCCGGCUAACUACGUGCCAGCAGCCGCGGUAAUACGUAGGGGGCAAGCGUUAUCCGGAUUUACUGGGUGUAAAGGGAGCGUAGACGGCAGCACAAGUCUGGAGUGAAAUGCCGGGGCUUAACCCCGGAACUGCUUUGGAAACUGUAUGGCUGGAGUGCAGGAGAGGUAAGCGGAAUUCCUAGUGUAGCGGUAAAAUGCGUAGAUAUUAGGAGGAACACCAGUGGCGAAGGCGGCUUACUGGACUGUAACUGACGUUGAGGCUCGAAAGCGUGGGGAGCAAACAGGAUUAGAUACCCUGGUACC